CGCAUCCAACAUGAUAAAGACUUUGGAGGUGAAUGGCUGGACGCGGCUUCAGUGCUUUGGACACAGGCUUUACCUGGCGAUAGGGGAAGGGGAACUGACAACAAAAAGCAGCCUCUUCUCUUCGUCCACUAACAGCUGAGUCAUUACACAGGCAUCAUCUUCAGUCGCCAUCAGAGCAGAGAUUAGCUGUCACAGUGUGCUUCAGACUUCCCCCACUAACCUGCUUUACACUCACUCCUUCCCCUAGCAACCAAACAGACGCACUAACACACAUUCAGAUUCAUACGCCUGGCACACUGUAUCCAGAACUCAAUGUCCUCUAACAUUUUUUGGUGCACUGUGUGUUAUAUUCAGUCAUUCCACUCAAGUGUUAACAACCCAAAUGAUGCAGAGCUGCAAGAACAGAGCCAUGAGGAGGGAGUACUCUCAGAAACAGACACACAUAUUUGACCUACAAAUGUCUUUCAGAGGGCAGACAGUGUCAAGUAUGAUGCAUGCAUGUUUGUGUGUGUGUGGCACCAGAUGCAUUCAUCUUUAAUAACACUAUUUAUCUUCAAUUCUUCUGAAUUAACAGUUCACAAAGAGAGUGUAACAGUCAUUCUUCACCAAAAAUUAGCAGUUUGUGAAAUAACACCGAUGUAAGACUGGGUGUUGUCUGUUUUUUCUGGAUGAUGUGCUGAUAUGUGAUUGCAACUCCAAAACCCAGAUUCUACAAUCAAAAAUCAAUGAAUGAAUAAGAAUGAGAGAGAAACAGCAAACAAAGACCCACACCGGUCUACAUCCCUGCAGCUGAGGGGGGAACAUUUCGAGACUCCUGGUGAUCAGCCUCACAGAAAGACUCUGACAUCUAAGAUCUAAGCCAAGGUUGUGAGGCAAGCUGAGACACGGCUGCAUCGAGUUAAAAAGCUCAUAAUUGGAAAUAGGAAGAACAGAAGGUACACGGACUAGAAAGCAUCAUGUGUGGUAGUGUCAUAAUUUGGUGUUGGAUGUGAACAGCAGAGGAAAGGAGGGCUCUGCAGCAGGUGACUGAAGCCACCCCAAACAUCAACAGUAUCCAGAGCACAACAAAAGACAAUACCCAACCCAAGCUGCAACAGCCUGUUUAACUGGAAAACAAUGCAAAGGAAUCCACUGUCAUGUCACCAGACCAUGAAGCAGCUCCUUUUUCCUCAUCCUCAGCACUUCAAAAAUACAUUUCUGUCUGUUUUGUAUUGUAUUGUAUUUUUCAGUAAAGUCGUGCUGAUAAUGUGAGCAUUAAAUGAG